ACCUUAUUUAGUUUCAUUACUUGUUACCCAUUACAAAUUACCUUAUCACAAAACCAUCUAUUACCGAUAAUUUCAAUGCUUGCAGAGAAUACCUUGUUGAAAACCGUUUAUCAUUUUCUUCUGCUCCUCGUUGGGUUCGACACUCUUCUAUCGAAAGGACUACCAUAGAUCGCCUGUACUCACCGCCGCCUCCGAUCGCCGCCAUGCUCACCACCACCUCUCGCUGACAGGGCUUCGCCCGUACAUCUGGCACGAAGGGCAGGCGGAUCCGGCGGGGAGGUGUAGAAGGGCUCCCCGUCAUCCGUUCCCGCCGGCCACGUAGCUGGCCGAUCCGAAUCUGGUUGCUGACCUCAGGCACAGCGGUGUGGUGAGGCUAGAAGGAGGGACGGCAUCCUCAUAUCGUCGGGCAAGGUCUGCUUACCUCAGCCGAGCAGCGCUGUUGAUCUUCAUGGCGAGGCCCUCCCAGUCGGCGGUGAAGUAGCCGGAGCUGGACCGAGGUCGAGCGCGACAAGCUACUCNNNNNNNNNNNNNNNNNNNNNNNNNNNNNNNNNNNNNNNNNNNNNNNNNNNNNNNNNNNNNNNNNNNNNNNNNNNNNNNNNNNNNNNNNNNNNNNNNNNNNNNNNNNNNNNNNNNNNNNNNNNNNNNNNNNNNNNNNNNNNNNNNNNNNNNNNNNNNNNNNNNNNNNNNNNNNNNNNNNNNNNNNNNNNNNNNNNNNNNNNNNNNNNNNNNNNNNNNNNNNNNNNNNNNNNNNNNNNNNNNNNNNNNNNNNNNNNNNNNNNNNNAGGGGUUUCAUUCUGGUUCGCGUUGGUGCUCGGCAGGGGAAGCAGAUUUGCUCUUGCGCAUUGCUCUGCUAAAUGUGAAGAUUUUUCUGUUUUACAUGUGUUAUCCUGCUGGCCAGGUUUGGGUUUUGUUGGAGUAGAUGGUGUAUGUCUUCAUCUGUGAAGAGAAUGAUUUUGUCAAGGGAUUCAGCUAUAGUUUGUUGGCAGAAAAGUAAGAGGAUGAGGAUGCAACUAAUGAUAUUUCUGUAACUUCCCUCUGUCUUUUUGUCUGUUAUAGGUUUUAGAGUUAAAUGUAGAAGCAUUUGUUAGCUUGGAACUAUGAUACAGGUAUAGUUAGUAGUACCAAAUCUCUGCAAAGUGCUAGUAAGAAAAUGCUCGAAUGUUUAUGUUGCUGCCGGCAUGGCUGCCCUUCCUCUCAAUUAGUUUUCUGGAUGAUAUUUCAGUGAAGCAAUGGAUAUAAUCUGCACAUGCGUGCUCAUGCUAUCCAAGAAUUGAUGUAUUAAAAUGCCCAUGUGUAUUGUGCCUUUUUAGUGUCGUUUCGCCUGUAUUAAACAUCUACUGAAAAAUGCUUUAUGUGACUAGAAGAAAUCAAAGCCGUGGUACAUGUGCUGAAGUUUUUUGUCCCUAAUUUUUUCUUUCUUUCUUGGAACUUUGAUAUACGCUCAAGUGGUUUGUGCUUGCUCAUGCACUAACUGGUGUGCAAUGCCAGCUUCACUGGACUAUCACAUUUGUGAUUGAGCCAAUUGUCCUCAUUUCUUCACAAUUGUACGAUUAAGAUUUUACUUCUGUUUAUAGCGAAUGAUUUGUUAGGUUCUAGGCAUCUCAUCUACCCUGUGUAAAAGGAAAGAUAGUGUUUGCAUUCGAUUAUCUUUGUUUAUAUCAGCAGAGCAACUUCCCUGGGGAUGACAAAGAAAUUCGAUCCACAAAAUCUUUUGAAUUCAUUUCGUAUAUUUUUUUUUGAGCUGUGCUGUUUUCCAUAGUACUAAAUUUGUAUUAGUUAUUCCUACAAGUGUUAGUUAUUCAUAAGCAUAUAAUAUAAUCUGCUACUGUCAAAUUUUAGUUUACACUAACUUGUAAGCUAUACUGCUAGAUAGCACCUUAGUUAUUUCUUUAGUGAAUCAUCAGCAAGUUUCUUUGACCAUUUAACACCAGUAUUGAAAGUCCUUGCCUAUCACUGGUUUAUCUUGGUUCAAAUAUUAUUGAUAAUCUUCAAGUUAUCAUUGGCCAUGGACACCUUAUAUUGAGUUCAGUUUUGGACAUGCGUUCACUUAGUGUAGAAGUACAGGCUCAUUGUAUUCGCUUGUCGUUUCCCCUUUUCAUGAUAUGCUUGUACUGACAAAUUGAAUCACUGUUGGUGACAAUAUUUACGUCUGAAACUCUGGUAUUCUACUCUAUUUCCUGAUACCUUGUCAGUCAGUAUGUACUGAGUAUAUCUACAUUACAGGUUUCUGUAGUUCAAGAUUAAAGGCAAGAAUCAGGCAAAUAUGAUUAUGAGAACAAGGCUAAUGAUGGAGAACCUUCAUCUACGGAAGCUGAGCAGUCUAUUGGGAAAACUAAGUUUCAAUGUGCAUCCUGAGUUUCAGCUACCUGAAAUCAAAGGCCAAUUUCAGUCGAUCCCGAAGUAAACUACCACAUGUAAGUUUAGGGACACACAUUAGUUUCCGGCUAGGGAUUUAAUGGCUGCUGAACUUUAUGCACACAUGGUGUAGUAGAGAUGCAGGCUUCGUUAUCCUGCAGUUAUCUGAUUUUUUUCUGAACUGCACUCCUCUUGCCUUGAGUUUUGUUCUUAACCAAAUUAUUACUUACUGACAAACGAAUGCUUGUUUGCCGUCCUCACAUGUAUAUUCAGAUGAGGGGUACCCCAUGCUGCUGUUAGAUAAAUCAUGAAUCAAGAGAGCAUAGUGGAGAGAGGGGAGAGACCAAUAUACGUCUUUGUCAAAUGUUUUUAUUGACAAAUGCAUUCGAUUUAUUGGCAGCAACACAACAUUCCUUUGUUGGCAAAAGCAUUCGCCUGCCCAGAUGCAGAUUCUAUGUUUACCUUAGGAAGUUCUUUUAGCGUUCUACUUCUUGACUUCAAAUUUUGUAGUGUAUUGGAUUUUGAGAUAUAAGAUAGAUACUUAGUAUGAUUGUCUGGUUUAUGUGCUAGUCCCAGGUAAAAUCGGAGUUAGCUUCUUAUGAAUGUCGAACCAUUAAUAUCAACUUAACUCCUAACAGUGCUAGCUUACUUGCCAUAUCAAAUGACUCGGUAUGCAUCAGGCUAGCUAGGCGAUAUGAAAUUUUACUGUUCUGAUUGACGUGAUAUUUAGAGUUCUAAUUGACAUAUUCUUUUUCAAAUAUCCAGUUAAGACCUCUGUGUUCCUUCGUCCGGGGAGGGACAUGCACCACUCCUCUAAACCUCGUAAUGCAUGCAGCGUAGGAAUAUCUAGGUAAUCGGAAAGUCGGACUUUGAGCAGCAGAGGACAUGCUAUCUUUUUUGAAACAUAAAAAUAUCUUACCUGAUAUAUUAAGGGAACGCAGAUUUUCAUUUUGGAUAAGCAGAUCUUUUUUCUUCUGAUAAGCAGCUCUCCUCUAGGCAUUUUUAUGCUCUCUCUUGCGAUCUUCUUCACUUUUUGCCUAGUUUCUAUGGUGUCAUUCAAGACAGCUACUGGUGUCAUUCAGGACAUUCCCAAAAGACAGAGAAAAAAACAGAACCUGACAUCAAAUGAUUAUGGAAUACGUACAAUAUGAUUACCUUGUAGAUCUAUGUCAUGAAUAACACCGGAUGUGACCGUAGUUGAAGGAGGAAAUGUUGCAUCAUUAUGCGAGAAUGAUGUAUAGCUGGAGCUAGUUGGGUUGUCUGGUUAAACAAUGUUGUGAAAACAUAUUUAGAACUUAAUGGUUCAAACACGGGUAUGAUGCUUGCCUUGUAUUCGUCUACAUAUGUCCCGCCCAUAUGGCCUACAACACAUUAUGUAUACACCAUGUCACUGUCAGAAAUGCACGACUCGCAUGUGUAGGAAUUUUUGAUAGCGUGAAAUAUACCUGUAGGUAAGUCCUCCUCUGGUUGAUGUUCACUUGCCUUGCUUUUUGAAUUCCCCAUACGUACCUAUGUAAUGGCAGCUCCCUGACACGAAAAGACCAUUGCUUGAUGUAUGUAGCAAAAUAACGCAUUGCCUUUUUUCUUGCUUUUCAGAAGACAAGGAACAGGACACAGUUAUUUUCUGGAUUUCCAGAAGACAAGGACCAGGACCACAGCAAACAUCCUGUACUGUGCUUGCCAUGUUAAAAUUUCUUCUAGUCUUUUUUAUUAGAUUGACUACGUAUUUGGUACUGCCCAUUUGAUUUCAAGAGAAGUCCUAUUGUACAGGAAUUUGAAGAAAAAAGUACUGAUGCAACCAUGGAAGGGGUGGAAGGUAAAGCCAUUCUGAGGGAUAUAUGAACAGCGAAGAACUUAUUAACCAUUUUUUAUAAAACUUGAUGAUGAAUUGGUUACUAUAGUCCCAAAAUAAUUACCAUAUGUGAAGAAUAUUUGAAAGAGGGGGGGUUAUAUUUUCUUUGGAAGUGAGCUUAUUUGGAAGUAUCUUUAAGAAUUUGGUGGCAACAUAUGUUUAAUAAAUUCUUUUUGUGUGUGGCCAUGGUGUUUUCUUGCAUCACACUGUGUAAGCAUGUCUUUAUCUACUGAUUCUGGAUAUACCAUGAUGAAUAGUUUCUAAUUUCUUUCAAAAGUUGCUUUCAGAUUAACUGUGGUCAUUUGGCGUAAAAUAUUUGACGAUGGUUUUUUCUCCCAAACUGGCAAGGUAUUUUACUACCUAUAUUAAUUACUAGAAGGUGUGAUUUUGCUGUACAUAUUUAACCAAUAGUUUGUAGGUUCUACUUGGUACUGAUUGCCAUACCUACACUGUUGGAUCCUUUGCCCAACUUGCAACUGGAAACGUGAAACAGUGAUGCAGAUUUUGUGAUAGAUCUGGAAAGGCCUUUCGGAAGGUGUGCAAACAUGUAUCAUUGUUUCAUUGGAAAUGGUAUAACAAUGGAAAUAAUAUGUACGAACCAAUCUUUGCAACGAACAAUAGUGCAUAUAUUGAGUGUUGUGUCAUAUUAGCACCCUUUCCAUUCUGGUGCGAUAAAUAUAGGUUCUUAGCAUGUUUUUACUUUCUGUCAUGGACAUCUGUCUCUUUGUCAUAACGUAGUGAUAUGUCUUCAACGUAUCUAUAAUUUUUUAUUGUUCCAUGCUAUUAUAUUAUCCAUCUAGGAUGUUUUAUAUGCAUUUAUAUGCUAUUUUAUAUGAUUUUUGGGACUAACCUAUUAACCUAGAGCCCAGUGCCAGUUUCUGUUUUUUUCUUGUUUUUGAGUUUUGUAGAAAAGGAAUACCAAAUGGAGUCCAAUUGAUGUGCUAAUUUUUGAUGAUUUUUUAUGGACCAAAAGAAGCCCCCGGAGUAAAAGAGUUGGGCCAGAAGAGUCUCGGGCCAUCCACGAGGGUGGGGGACGCACCUACCCCCUGGGCGCGCCCCCCUAUUUUGUGGACGACUCGGAGACCCCCCUGACGUGAGACCUACGCCAAAAAUUCCUAUAAAUACAUAAACCCCCGGAACAUAACCUAGAUCGGGAGUUCCGCCGCCGCAAGGCUCUGUAGCCACCAAAAACCAAUUGGGACCCUGUUCCGGCACCCUGCCGGAGGGGGGAAUCCCUCGCCGGUGGCCAUCUUCAUCAUCCUGGCGCUCUCCAUGAUGAGGAGGGAGUAGUUCACCCUCGGGGCUGAGGGUAUGUACCAGUAGCUAUGUGUUUGAUCUCUCUCUUUCGUGUUCUUGAUUCGGCACGAUUUUGAUGUAUCGCGAGCUUUGCUAUUAUAGUUGGAUCUUAUGAUGUUUCUCGCCCUCUACUCUCUUGUAAUGGAUUGAGUUUUCCCUUUGAAGUUAUCUUAUCGGAUUAAGUCUUUAAGGAUUUGAGAAUACUUGAUGUAUGUCUUGCAUGUGCUUAUCUAUGGUGACAAUGGGAUAUUCACGUGAUCCACUUGAUGUAUGUUUUGGUGAUCAACUUGCGGGUUCCGUAACAUUGUGAACUUAUGCAUAGGGAUUGGCACACGUUUUCGUCUUGACUCUUCGGUAGAAACUUUGGGGCACUCUUUGAAGUUUUUUGUGUUGGUUGAAUAGAUGGAUCUGAGAUUGUGUGAUGCAUAUCGUAUAAUCAUACCCACGGAUACUUGAGGUGACAUUGGAGUAUCUAGGUGACAUUAGGGUUUUAGUUGAUAUGUGUCUUAAGGUGUUAUUCUAGUACGAACUCUAGGAUAGAUCGAACGGAAAGAAUAGCUUCGUGUUAUUUUACUACGGACUCUUGAAUAGAUCGAUCAGAAAGGAUAACUUUGAGGUGGUUUCGUACCCUACAAUAAUCUCUUCGUUUGUUCUCCGCUAUUAGUGACUUUGGAGUGACUCUUUGUUGCAUGUUGAGGGAUAGUUAUAUGAUCCAAUUAUGUUAUUAUUGUUGAGAGAACUUGCACUAGUGAAAGUAUGAACCCUAGGCCUUGUUUCAACGCAUUGCAAUAUCGUUUGUGCUCACUUUUAUCAUGAGUUACCUCGCUGUUUUUAUAUUUUUCAGAUUACAAAAACCUAUAUCUAUCAUCCAUAUUGCACUUGUAUCACCUUCUCUUCGCCGAACUAGUGUACCUAUACAAUUUACCAUUGUAUUCGGUGUGUUGGGGACACAAGAGACUCUUUGUUAUUUGGUUGCAGGGUUGUUUGAGAGAGACCAUCUUGAUCCUACGCCUCCCACGGAUUGAUAAACCUUAGGUCAUCCAUUUGAGGGAUACUGUCCUACAAACCUCUGCACUUGAAGGCCCAACAACGUCUACAAGAAGAAGGUUGUGUAGUAGACAUCACGUGGAUACAGAGUGAUGCCUAUGGGAAGAAGUGGUGCUUUGAUAUUUUAAUUAUUAUUUUUCAGGAGCCCCCAACUAUCAGGUACUAAAUAGAGAUAAGUUCAGAAUAUUUGAACAUGCGAUAGCUUUAUGAUAUGUGUAUAAACUGUGUAUAAACUUCAAAUAAUACCUAUAUCUGCAAUGAUCUCGUCGGCGUCUCCUCAACGGGGAUCAGCGCCGGCUCAGGGUAUAGGCGUGUGGCUCCUGAAGGGGAUCGUCGUCGGAUCCUGGACGUGAUCGUGGCGGGUCCUCAAAGGGAUCAGCGCCAGAUCUGGGGAUCGGCGUGCGGCUCCUGAAGGGGAUCAUCGCCGGAUCCUGAACGUGAUCGGCGACGGGUCCUAAACGGGAUCGGCGGCGUCUCCUCAAACGGAUCGUCCGAUGGAGGGCGGCGGCUUUGAUGUGCAAGGUCGGCGGCGAAGGGAUGGAGUGGCGGCGGCGAAGGAGGGUAGAGAGUCGUGCAAAGGAGGGCAGGGAGUCGUGCGUGCGAGUGGUUUUCGCUCGAGGGCAGGAGGCCUCGCUCAUACGUGUCUGCGAUUGGUUUAGUUUUUUUUUCGCUGGUUAAUUUUUGUAGGUUUUUUUUCGUCGGUUUUUUUCCUCCGCUUUUCUUGGGUGCGACGGGAGGUUAGCCUGUGGACUGCGUGGGGGCAUCCGGCAUCGCUACGAGGUUUUUUUGGUUCGACGCGGCUCACUGUGAGGUGGGAGGAGGGACGGAAAAAACCAGGGGAAGGUGGGACGAAAAAUAACCGUGGAACAGAGACUACCAACUGAGACAUUAGGAGUAGAUAUUUGGUGGCCUACUCUCUUCAAGGAUGCCCGUUAGUUUGGAGUCCCGUGUGAUGAAUGUCAAAGAAUUGGUAAUAUUAGUAGACGUCAAGAAAUGCCUAUGAAUUAUUCACUUGUUAUCGAACCAUUUGAUGUUUGGGGCUUUGAUUAUAUGGGACCUUUUCCUGCCUCUAAUGGAUACACACAUAUUUUAAUUGUUGUUGAUUACGUUACUAAGUGGGUAGAAGCUAUUCCAACUAGUAGUGUUGAUCAUAACACCUCUAUUAAGAUGCUUAAAAAGUUAUUUUUCCGAGGUUUGGAGUCCCUAGAUAUUUAAUGACUGCAUGGUGGUUCAUAUUUUAUUCAUGGUGCUUUCCGUAAAAUGCUUGCUAAGUAUGAUGUUAAUCAUAGAAUUGCAUCUCCUUAUCACCCACGGUCUAGUGGUCAAGUAGAAUUGAGUAAUAGAGAACUCAAAUUGAUUUUGCAAAAGACUGUUAAUAGAUCUAGGAAGAAUUGGUCCAAGAAACUUGAUGAUGCAUUAUGGGCCUAUAGAACUGCAUAUAAAAAUCCUAUGGGUAUGUCUCCGUAUAAAAUGGUUUAUAGAAAAGCAUGUCACUUACCUCUCGAACUAGAACAUAAGGCUUAUUGGGCUAUUAAAGAGCUCAAUUAUGAUUUCAAACUUGCCGGUGAGAAGAGGUUAUUCGACAUUAGCUCACUUGAUGAAUGGAGAACCCAAGCCUAUGAGAAUGCCAAGUUGUUUAAAGAAAAAGUUAAAAGAUGGCAUGACAAAAGGAUACAAAAGCGUGAGUUUAAUGUAGGUGAUUAUGUAUUGCUAUACAACUCUCGUUUAAGAUUUUUUGCAGGAAAAAUUCUCUCUAAAUGGGAAGGUCCUUACGUUAUCCAGGAGGUCUAUCGUUCCAGUGCCAUAAAAAUCAACAACUUCGAAGGCACAAAUCCGAAGGUGGUGAACGGACAAAGAAUCAAACAUUAUAUCUCAGGUAAUCCUAUAAAUGUUGAAACCAAUGUUAUUGAAACCGUAACCCCGGAGGAAUACAUAAGGGACACUUUCCAGAACGUUUCAGACUCCAAAAAGGAAGAGGUAUGUGGUAUGGUAAGUAAACCGACUCCAAAACAGUUCUAAUGGCAAUUUUUCUCCGUUUUGGAAUAUUUAGAAAAAUUGAAAAAUAAGAAGUAGUCCGGGAAGGACACGAGGGUGGAGGGCGCGCCCCCCUGCCUCGUGGGCACCUCGUGCGCUUUCCGGACUCCAUUUUCUUGCACAAUACGUAUUUUGGUCGGUAAAAAUUCAUUAUAUAAUCUUCCGAAGGUUUUGACUCCUGUAUCACCCAAUUAUCCUCUGUUCUUGUUUCGAGCUGUUUUCUGUCAGGGUUGUCAAGGCCAGGAAUCAUGUCGUCCCCCUCCUCCAACAAUGGUGACAAAGAUGCUUGGCUAAUGAAGAUAGAUCUGAGGAGGGAAGAACCCGUGGAAAUCAACAAGGAUGAAGGGAUCAAGAAGGCCACAAAGGACCAAGCUCCGGUAGCCGAAGACACCCUUCAACUUGAUCACAAUCUUCUCACCCCAACUGAGAUCGAAGCUUUCAAGAUGAUUGAGUUAGCUCGUAUACAAAACAAGUAUCUCACACGUGAAAAUAUUUUGUUGAAGGAGCAUAUCGUCGCACUCAAGGGCAUCAUCCGGAAGUUGGAGGAUCUCUUACGCUCGAUGUGCGAUUACCCGUCAUCAACAACUCCACCACCUUCCUCACCAACAAAGGAGAUAUAAUCACAUGGGUAUGGGCACUCCCCUUGGCAACUGCCAAGCUUGGGGGAGGUGCCCCGGUAUCGUAUCACCACCACAUCUCUAUCUUUACCGUUUUUCUUAGUCCGAUCCUUUUAGUAGUAUUUUGAUCUAGUAGAAUAAGGUUUUAGUAUGAUCUAGUUUUGAGUUUUGCUUUAUGAUCCCUCUAUGUAAUCGAGUCCGUGAGCUAUAUAAUAAAGAUUAAUGUUGAGUCAAGGGCUUGAUUAUUUUGCUAAGAUCUUAAGGGAAUAAAAGAAAAGAGAAAAAGAAUAAAAAGAAACAAAGAGAUCAUAUUGAUCUUAUGGAGAGUAAUGACUUCACAUAGAAAGAGUAUGAUGAUUAAAAUUAUUGAGAGUUGACAAACAUAGCUUUGGUCAUCGUUGCAAUUAAUAGGAAGUAAUAAAGAAAGAGAUGUUUCACAUAUAAAUAUACUAUCUUGGACAUCUUUUAUGAUUGGGAGCACUCAUUAAAAUAUGACAUGCUAAAGAGUUGAUGUUGGACAAGGAAGACAACGUAAUGGGUUAUGUUUUCUUAUAUCUGAAAUAAAGUAUAUUGUCAUGGAUCAUCCAACAUGUUGAGCUUGCUUUCCCCCCCUCAUGCUAGCCAAAUUCUUUGCACCAAGUAGAGAUACUACUUGUGCUUCCAAAUACCCUUAAACCUAGUUUUACCAUGAGAGUCCACCAUAUCUACCUAUGGAUUGAGUAAGAUCCAUCAAGUAGGUUGUCAUCGGUGCAAGCAAUAAAAAUUGCUCUCUAAAUAUGUAUGAUUGAUUGGUGUGGAGGAAAUAAGCUUUAUACGAUCUUGUGAUGUGGAAGAAAUAAAAGCGACGGACUACAUAAUAAAGGUCUAUAUCACAAGUGGCAAUAUAAAGUGACGUUCUUUCGCAUUAAAAUUUUGUGCAUCCAACCCUGAAAGCGCAUGGCAACCUCUGCUUCCCUCUGCGAAGGGCCUAUCUUUUAUUAUUAUCUUCUACCUUAUGCAAGAGUCAUGGUGAUCUUCACCUUUCCUUUUUACAUUUUAUCCUUUGGCAAGCACAGGAUGUUGGAAAGAUCCUGAUAUAUAUCUAAUUGGAUGUGGGUUAGCAUGAACUGUUAUUGUUGACAUUACCCUUGAGGUAAAAGGUUGGGAGGCGAAACUAUAAGCCCCUAUCUUUCUCUGUGUCCGGUUAAAACUCCAUAGCCACAAGUAUUGCGUGAGUGGUAGCAAUUGUGAAAGAUUAAAUGAUAGUUGAGUAUGUGGACUUGCUAAAAAGCUCUGACAUAGACUCUUUCUGAUGUUAUGAUAAAUUGCAAUUGCUUCAAUGACUGAGAUUAUAGUUUGUUAGUUCUCAAUAAAGUUUCUGAUUCAUACUUUGCAUUGUGAAUAGAUUAUUACUUGAGCAUAAGAAAUCAUAUGACAUUAUCCAUAUAUGUUGCUGUUAUGAGAAUAAUCAUGAUGCCCUCAUGUCCGUAUUUUAUUUUAUCGAUACCUCUACCUCUAAACCAUUGGACAUAUUUAUCGUUAUCGGCUUCCGCUUGAGGACAAGCGAGGUCUAAGCUUGGGGGAGUUGAUACGUCCAUUUUGCAUCAUGCUUUUAUAUCGAUAUUUAUUGCAUUAUGGGCUGUUAUUACACAUUAUUUCACAAUACUUAUACGUAUUCUCUCUUAUUUUACAAGGUUUACAUAAGGAGGGAGAAUGCCGGCAGCUGGAAUUCUGGGCUGGAAAAGGAGCAAAUAUUAGAGACCUAUUCUGCACAACUCCAAAAGUCCUGAAACUCCACGAAAGUUACUUUUGGAAAUAAUAAAAAAUACUGAGCGGAAGAAAUACCAUAGGGGGCCCACACCCUGGCCACGAGGGUGGGGGCGCGCCCUACCCCCUGGGCGCGCCCCCUGCCUCGUGGGCCCCCUGUUGGCCCUUCGAUGCCCAUCUUCUGCUAUAUGAAGUCUUUCGUCCGAUAAAAAAUCAGAAGCAAGCUUUCGGGACGAGACUCCGCCGCCAAGAGGCAGAACCUUGGCGGAACCAAUCUAGGGCUCUGGCAGAGCUGUUCUGUCGGGGACACUUCCCUCCGGGAGGGGGAAAUCAUAACCAUCGUCAUCACCAACGCUCCUCUCACCGGGAGAGGGCAAUCUCCAUCAACAUCUUCACCAGCACCAUCUCCUCUCAAACCCCAGUUCAUCUCUUGUAUCCAAUUCUUGUCUCUAAGUCUGGGAUUGGUACAUGUGGGUUGCUAAUAGUGUUGAUUACUCCUUGUAGUUGAUGCUAGUUGGUUUAUUUGGUGGAAGAUCAUAUGUUCAGAUCCUAUAUGCAUAUUAAUAGCCCUCUGAUUAUGAACUUGAAUAUGCUUUGUGAGUAGUUAUGUUUUUUCCUGAGGACAUGGGAGAAGUCUUGCUAUUAGUAGUCAUGUGAAUUUGACAUUCGUUCGAUAUUUUGAUGAGAUGUAUGUUGUCUCUCCUCUAGUGGUGUUAGGUGAACGUCGACUACAUCACACUUCACCAUUGUUUGGGCCUAGAGGAAGGCAUUGGGAAGUAAUAAGUAGAUGAUGGGUUGCUAGAGUGACAGAAGCUUAAACCCUAGUUUAUGUGUUGCUUCGUAAGGGGCUGAUUUGGAUCCAUAUGGUUCAUGCUAUGGUUAGGUUUACCUUAAUAUUUCUUUUGUAGUUGCGGAUGCUUGCAAUAGGGGUUAAUCAUAAGUGGGAUGCUUGUCCAAGUAAGGACAGCACCCAAGCACCGGUCCACCCACAUAUCAAAUUAUCAAAGUACCGAACGCGAAUCAUAUGAACGUGAUGAAAACUAGCUUGACGAUAAUUCCCAUGUGUCCUCGGGAGCGCUUUUCUUUAUAUAAGAGUUUGUCCAGGAUUGUCCUUUGCUACAAAAAGGAUUGGGCCACCUUGCUGUGCUUUAUUUACUUUUGCUACUUGUUGCUCGUUACAAAUUAUCUUAUCACAAAACUAUCUGUUACCUUAAUUUUAGUGCUUGCAGAGAAUACCUUGCUGAAAACCGCUUAUCAUUUCCUUCUGCUCCUCGUUGGGUUCGACACUCUUACUUAUCGAAAGGACUAUGAUAGAUCCCCUAUACUUGUGGGUCAUCAUGCUUGCAUUGCCGGAAAGCUUCAUGAAAAAGCUCAUAAAGUGAAGACUAUCAUCACCACCUUGAGGCCCCUUGAGCUUAUCCAUUUGGAUCUUUUUGGGCCUCCAACUUAUGAUAGUUUGGGAGGGAGGAGGUAUUGCCUUGUCAUUGUUGAUGACUUCACAAGAUAUACUUAGGUGUUCUUUCUCAAGACCAAAGAUGAAACUCAAGAAACCUUCAUCAACUUUGCCAAAGAAGCUCAACGUCAACAUAAUUGUGAGAUCAAGUCAAUUCGAAGUGACAAUGGCACCGAGUUCAAGAACUACAUGAUGGAUGAAUUCUUGAGUGAAGAGGGGAUAAAGCAUAAAUAUGCCGCACCAUAUACUCCCCAACAAAAUGGUGUUGCGGAGAGGAAGAAUUAGACUCUUAUUGAGAUGGCUAGGACUAUGUUUGACGAGUACAAGUCUCCAUACAAGCUUUGGGCCGAAGCCAUCAACACCACGUGUCAUGCUUCAAACCGGCUUUAUCUUCGCAAGCUCAAGAACAAGAUCCCAUAUGAGCUCCUAAUCGGGAGAAACCCUAACGUCAAAUACUUUCGGGUAUUCGGUUGUAAGUGUUUCAUUUUAAACAAGAAAUCCCGGUUAGCUAAGUUUGAGUCUAGAACUUAUGAGGGCAUAUUUGUUGGAAUGCAUCAAACUCUCAUGCUUACCGAGUUCUCAAUAAAUCCACUGGAUGCAUUGAGGAAACGGUAAAUGUGAAGUUUGAUGAAGAUAACGGCUCCCGUGUGGAGCAAAUUGUUCCUAGUGUUGUAGGUGAUGAGGCUCCUUCACAAGCUAUAAGGACGAUGGGGAUAGGCCACAUUCUUCCACAAGAAACACCCCAAGUCCAAGUAGAAGAAGAAGGAGUAAUAGCCCCUCUUGUGGAGUCUCCACAAGGGAAGUCAUCACCGGCACCUCUUGAACAAGAUGCUACGGGAGAUCAUGUACCUAUCCAAGAACAAGAUCAAGUCCCUCAUAUUCCCAAGCAAGAUCAAGAGAAAGAUCAUUCAAAUGGUGAAUAACCAAUUACUGAGGCUCAAGAUCAAGAUCAACCCCAACCGCAAGUGUCUUCAUCAUCAUCACUUUCCAAUGAGCAAGAACUUGUGGUUGCGAAGAGAAGGGUGUCACCGAGGCCAAAACAAUCUCAAGGUCAAGCUUCUUCAUCAAGUCCAAAACCAAGUGAAGAAGAGCUUGCAAUUAUGGAGCAAAAAGUGGCUGCCAAGCUAAAGCAUCUUCAACAUCUCACCGAGAACAUCUAUGGAAGCAUGAAAGGGGGUAACUACUCAUAGACGUUUGGCAAACUUUUGUGAACAUCACUCUUUUGUCUCUUGUAUUGAGUCCCUUAAGGUGGAAGAUGCACUUGACGAUCCGGUUUGGAUAGAUGACAUGCAUGAACUCAACUACUUUACCCGCACCAAAGUGUGGACCCUUGUGGAAAGACCCAAAGAGCAUCAUAAUGUCAUUGGAACAAAGUGGAUCUUCAAGAACAAGCAAGAUGAACAUGGACAAGUAAUAAGGAACAAGGCAAGGUUAGUGGCACAAGGUUUCACCCAAGUUGAAGGUUUGGACUUUGGUGUAACUUUUGCCCCCGUUGCCCGUCUCGAAUCCAUUCGCAUCUUGCUUGCUUAUGCCUCUCAUCAUGAUUUUAAAUUAUAUCAAAUGGAUGUGAAUAGUGAAUUUCUUAAUGGUCCUCUUAAGGAGUUGGUGUAUGUCAAGCAACCUCCCAGUUUCGAAGACCCCGAUCACCCCUUUCACGUUUAUGAACUCCAUAAGGCACUCUAUGGACUCAAACAAGCACCUCGUGCUUGGUAUGAUCACCUUAUGGCGUUCCUAAGCGAGAAAGGGUUCCAGAUUGGGGCAAUAGAUUCCACUCUCUUCACAAAGAGGGUAAAAGGAGAGUUGUUUGUUUGUCAAAUUUAUGUUGAUGAUAUUAUCAUUGGGUCCACUAACCAUGCUAUUAACGUUGAGUUUGAGAAUCUUAUGAUUAAUGAAUUUGCUAUGAGCAUGAUGGGAGAGUUAAAGUUCUUCCUCGGUUUUCAAGUGAAGCAAUUGAGAGGAGGAACCUUCAUCAACCAAUCUCGCUAUAUUCAAGACAUGCUCAAGAGAUUCAAAAUGCAAGAUGUCAAGCCAAUGAAGACAUCCAUGCCCACAAAUGGUCAACUUCAUCUUGAUCGCAAUGGUAAAGAAGUGGAUCACAAGGUAUAUCGCUCCAUGAUCGGUUCCUUGCUUUACCUUUGUGCAUCUAGACCGGAUAUUAUGUUGAGUGUGUGUAUGUGUGCAAGAUUUCAAUCCGCUCCUAAGGAGAGCCACUAUUCGGCAGUGAAAAGAAUCCUUCGAUAUUUGGUUCAUACCCCAAACUUGGGCCUUUGGUAUCCCAAAGGAUCAUUGUUUGAGUUAAUGGGAUGCUCUGAUUCGAUUGGGCCGGAGACAAGGUUGACCGCAAGUACACUUCUGGUUCAUGUCAAUUUCUAGGGAGAUCGUUCGUAAGUUGGUCUUCAAAUAAGAAAAAUUGUAUAUCUCUCUCUACGGCCGAAGCCGAGUACAUUGCCGCCGGAAGUUAUUGUGCUCAGUUAUUAUGGAUGAGGCAAACUUUGAUGGAUUAUGGUGUCAAAUGUGACAAAGUGCCUCUUUGGUGCGACAAUGAAAGUGCAAUCAAGAUCGCCGAGAAUCCGGUCCAACACAGCAAGACCAAGCAUAUUGAGAUUCGUCAUCACUUCAUUAGGGAUCAUGUGGCCAAGGGGAACAUUGAAUUACUCCAUGUCAACACUGAGAAUCAACUAGCCGAUAUCUUCACCCAAGCCACUUGAAGAAGCAAGAUUCCGUGAGUUAAGGCAUGAGCUAAAUAUCGUGGAUAUAAGUAACUUGUGUUGAAACUCUUGCUCAUGCACACAUACUCACACUAGUACGCAUCGGUCCUAUACAAACGAUUUUUAACCCCUUUCUGCGACGGUAUUUGGAACCGUUGCCUAGUGAGUGUGGGCGAUAGGGGGGGGGGGGUCCUUCCCACAUGACCCAGAAACCGUCGGGGAUAUGCCCUCCCGGCACACACACACUCGACAAAAUGAGGUCGCGUGCGGGAAUACGUACAGUAGAGCUAAAAAUACAAUUAUACGGCGAAAUUGUUUCCGAUCGCAAGUACAUCCCACACAGUCAGUCCCCGCUAAACGUUUCGUUCGUAUGUACAUCCCACAUAGUCGCUCCAAGGAAAACGUUUCCGUUCAUAGGUAAAUCACACACAAUUUUUCCCGUUAAAUCGUUUGCGUUAUUGAAUGUAUCACACACGGUCCAUAGAAGAAACUAUGUGGGAAAGGCUGUCCAUCACACAUAGUUUUUAUGUGGUAAACGUUUGCGCAAGGUGGCCUAACGCAAACAUUUUUCAAGAUAAAGUCGUGUGUGAUUGUUCAUUGAUCCAACACGGUUUAUUCCUAGAAAAUGUGUGCGUUGCUUGAGGUCAUCGCCCACGAUAUUUUUUUAACAACCGUUUGCGAUAGCAAAACCCAAUUAGCAGGCUAAUUGCCCUAUUAUUAAUAAUCCAUUUAUUAAUCUAACUGACAUUCAUAUUAAGCACAUAAUAUAUUUCAUUUCCAUAUUAAGGAAGCAGAAUUUCAUAAUUGAAAUACAUCAAAGUACAACAUGAUAUAGCUUCAACACUCAGCUACCCCGUUACACAACUGCACCACCACCAAGUUUCACAUGCAACAUGUAGAACCUUUCGAAAUUAGCAUCAUAGAUGGUAUAUAGACAGAUGCAUCUCAUCUGGAAAACUGCUGAAGCGGAAGGCGAAUAUUGAGCCUUCAUUCAUGUUGAAGGUCUUUGCAACUUUAGGCCAGUGCCUGUGGAUGAUUGACCGUCCGUCUUUCGUCCUCUUCAGGAACACUUCAAUAUUGAACCGUGGCUAUUGUAUGAAAACCUUCCUCGCCUCCUGACCAUAGAGGUGGUUUGAGAGGUAAUCAUCAGUGAACUGCUUUGGAAAGGCCUGAAAACAAGGAUGUGCAUAAAUAUCUUCUCUAUAUUGGAAAUGGGGCAAAGGAAUAAAAAAAGGCAAGGUAUAACAGUUAGUACCAUCUUGUAGUGAACUGAUGUCUUCUUCAUUGUGCAGACAAAGAUCUUGUUGUUUUUGUCACUAAUUUCUUUGUCCUAACAACCUUCCCGAGCUUCUUGAUUUGAUUGAUAUUCAUGGACAACUCAUUUCCCCAUAUGCAAAAAGGGUCGAACAGUGGGUCAAAACCUCUAACAGCAGGACGUACAUGUGCAAGACCAAAUUGUUAAAAACCAAAAUAUUAGAAUGGUUCCCGCAAUUGCACAAUAAUGUGCUAUUAGACAACGGACCAUGCACGUGCUAACGUUGAUUGUAAACCUCAGUGCUUCCCAUUGUUUCCCUGCAACACAUAUAAGGUAGUUAGUCAUCAGGUUAAGUAAGGGUUCGCUUGCUAUCAGUAAAAUAUGUUGAUGAAAAAUAAGCAUAUUUCAGAUUCAUCAGAUUAAUUCAAGCCACAUGGAAAACCCAUUUAUCCAAACCAAGCAUGAUUAAUAACUAGGAAAUAUAGCACUUGUAUAUGUUUCUCAUGUAUUAAGUGCAGCCAAAUUCGAUUUAUUCCUCACAUGCACAACAAUACAAAAUUCUACCCACGACAAUUGGACAUCGCAUUGCAGAAUUGAACCAAGCAGUUAACUAAACACCACAACAAAUGAACCAACAUUAACUGAGCACCACAUUGCACAAUAUAACAUACUCCUAAUAUAAGAUUAGACAGUUAACCAAACAGUUAACUACAGCCAAUUGUAGCAAUUGUAUUUGUUUUUCAUUUAUUUACUACAGCCAAAUUCAAUUUAUUCCUCACAUGGUAUACAAUAACAGAAUGCACCCACAACUAUUGAAUAGCGCAUGGCAGAUUGAACAAAACAGUUAACUAAACACCACAACACAAAUGAACCAAACGUUAACUGAGCACCACAUUGCACAAUGUAUAACCAAACCAAGCAUGCUUGACAACUUGGAAAUAUAGCAAUUGUAUUCGUUUCUCAUGUAUUUUGUAAAGAUAAAUUCACUUUAUUUCUCACAUGGAAGAGAAUACAAAAUUGCAUCCUGAAGAAUUGAACAUUACAUUUGCAGAAUUGAACCAAACAGUUAACUGAAGAUGACAACUGAUUAACAGAAUAGUUAAUAAGUGAGCACCACACUGCACGACAUAUAGAACAUAUACACUAGAGCAAUAGAUUGCAUGGUAAAAUUAGAUAGCACAAUUCACUAGAAUUUGUGAAGGAAAGGCAGGAGCAGCACACGCAACGGGUAAACCGAGCAUGCUUAACCGGCGUAGCUAGCAAAUGGCAAGGUGCUCCUCCAAGAUCUGGGGGUCAGCACGAAUGGCAGCAAUCGUGACCUCAUCCGCGCGUCCGGUCGCGAUUUGCUUGUCCGCUGCCAAAUGCUCCUUGAGAUCCUGGCUAUACUGCGUGCACCAUGGCUUAGGGCCGCACUUAUUUGGUGGAGGGGUCGGUGAUUUGGGUGGAAGGUGUCGCGCUCGCGCCGGCGGUCGAGGCAUGUGGGAUGUGGAAGGAUGGGGGUCGGGUGUGGAUUACCUGCCUGGAUAGACGAGGCCGAGCAGCGUGAAGGAGGGUCGCCGACGAGGAGGCGGCGGCGCUGCAAGCAAGGAGUGAAGGUUUCAACUUGGAAAGGAAGGCGGAAACAGGGAAAAUGUGGCUUUUGGUAAGGGGGAGGGGGCGGGGAGGUAGAUAUUUCCGCGGAAGCCGAAAAUUUGGAAUCGCUUCAGCGAAAAAACUGGCACGCGAAGUGUUAUCAGACACGGUCCCUUAUUCAGAACUGUGUACGAUAUGUGAACAUCACAAACGAUUCAAAUAGCUUAACCCGUGUGUGAUGAGUUUGAACGUCAAAAAUUUUGGUUCGAAUUUCCAUGGUUAUAGUGUUCAUCCACGUCAUUGCAUAAUUUGGGUACACAAAGGAGACUACAGCACACCCACACUUCUUAAUCGAGCAAGUUCGGCAAUUAAACAGAGCUAGCUGACCUAAAAAUUACUCUAACAAAUUAAUGACCGUCGCUCUUAAUUAAACAAAACAAAUAGUACUACUACGGCUGGUUCUCGUCGAUCUCCGCCGCCGCCUCCAUGUCCAGCUCGCGCCCGACGGUCUCCUGGGGAAGGGGCUCCAUGGCACCCAUCGCACCAUACUUGGCAAGCAUCUCGCCAUCCGCAUCUGCCAUCUCUUUGGAAAAGGCCGCCACGAGCUGGGCCUGGGCGGACGCGAUCUGGGCUUGUACGGGCUCCGUCGUCACAAGGUAUGCGGCGGAGGAACGGAAGGCUGCUCGAACGCUCUCGGCGAUUGCCGGCUCUUCGGCCGUGGGUUGCCGAGCGUUGUCGGAGAAGCUUCGUUCGAUUUGUGCGGUGAUCGCCAGGAGCUAGGAGUGGGUGGCCUCGACAUGGUCGUGGGCGGCCUCCAUCAGGGCUAAGGCCGCCGCUGCGGAACGGACAGCUGUUGUGCCGCUCUCGCCAGUUGUUAUCCCUGAGCCAGAUGUUGUUGCCGCCACCUGAGAGGCAAUAGCGGCCGUUUGGGCUGCCAUGGCUGCCCGGUCGCAGAAUGCGGCCGCGCUCAUGCACCUUGUUAGCAAGCGCAUGGCGUCUGCGGCCGCGCUCUCGUUGGAGUGGGCCACCAAAGUUGCCCUGACGACGCGGGUCCACGUGCCCAUCUUUCACCGACGACGAUUGAACAGUGAAAUGAUAUUUGGGGAGCGAGCUAGUGUGCUUGAAGACGCCUGCUGUGGACUGUAGCCGGCGCACCUUCUCGCGUAAGCCAUAGGCGUACUAUACACCGACGGUGCUCCAGGAUAUUUUGUGCUGCAUCUCACACGGUUGGUGAUAAUAAACUGUGUGUGAUCUACUUGAUUUUUCAUCUUGAUUUGAAUUACAUAAUGGGGUCACAGCGGCAAUGGACGGUGUUUGAAUUGCUAGACCUUUUAUCUGGAGUGAACAUGCAACUAUAUGUGUGUCGUAAAAGAAUUGGAGUUAUUCAGGGUUCGUUUGAACAUUUUAUACAUUAAAUUGGGUUUCUAGCCAUUUCAGGUGCACAAUUCAAAAUUAAACUACAUGCACAUGCUCCGGUGCACCAACAUGGGUUGUAAAAUCAUAUAUGUGUCCAUGGGUUUAUGCUUAUCUCCCAUGCAAGAAAUGGGGAUGAAAUUCGAACGCCAUAGCAUCGUGGCUCUCCGGCAAACGUCGACGUACUUGCUUUUGUAAUUCUAGUAAAUCCAAAAUUCAUGAAACUUGGCAUGCUAUCAUGGAGCGGCAUCAACAUGCCGUGGUAAAUUUUUUGUCCCAUUUGGGGCAGGUUUGGGUAUAAGCUUCUCAUAAACCAGAGCUUCUCACAACAAGUGUGAUGGUUUCGGUAGGGAACGUUUCACCUUUCUGGACGAAACAAUAUUCGUUGCCUCUUCUCGAUUUCAAAUUUUUUCCUAGUGUCAACAUAGAACAACAGGAGUGUUGUGUCAAUUUUUGGGAUUUUUCGGGGUUCGCUGUAACGCCCAUGAUGCGGCUAUAUCUCCCACGUGUCGAGGCACAACCGCAUUGUGGUAUUGUCGCAAGAAGGGUUAUCUUCACACAAUCCCAUGUAAUGAACAAGAAUGGGAUAACGAGAGUUGGCUUACAAUCGCCACUUCACACAAUACAUAAAUUAAUUCAUACAUCAUCCAAAAUCCACACAUAGGCCGAGUACGGUCAAAUCCAAAUGAAAAUAAGAUAACCCCAAAUGCUAGAACCCCGAUCGUCCCAACUGGGCUCCACUACUGAUCAUCAGGAAAAGAAACAUAGUAACGACCACGUUCCUCGUCGAACUCCCACUUGAGCUCGGUUGCAUCAUCUGCACUGGUAUCGUCGGCACCUGCAACUGUUUUAGUAGAAUCUGUGAGUCAAGAGGACUCAGCAAUCUCACACCCGCGAGAUCAAGACUAUUUGAGCUUAUAGGAAAGGAUGGUGUAAUGAGGUGGAGCUGCAGCAGGCACUAAGCAUAUAUGGUGGCUAACAUACGCAAAGAGAGCGAGAAGAGAAGCAACGCAACGGUCGCGAAGCUAGAAAUGAUCAAGAAGUGAUCCUGAAACUACUUACGUUCAUACAUAACUCAAACCGUGUUCACUUCCCGGACUCCGCCGAGAAGAGACCAUCACGGCUACACACACGGUUGAUGUAUUUUAAUUAAAUCAAGUGUCAAGUUCCCUACAACCGGACAUUAACAAAUUCCCAUCUGCCUCAUAACCGCGGGCACGGCUUUCGAAAGAUAAUACCCUGCAGGGGUGUCCCAACUUAGCCCAUUAUAAGCUCUCAUGGUCAACGAAGGAUAAACCUUCUCCCGGGAAGACCCGAUCAGUCUCGGAAUCCCAGUUUACAAGACAUUUCGACAAUGGUAAAACAAGACCAGCAAAGCCGCCCGAUGUGCCGACAAAUUCCGAUAGGAGCUGCACAUAUCUCGUUCUCAGGGCACAACGGAUGAGACAUCCUACGAGUAAAACCAGGCCUCAAGUUUCCCCGAGGUGGCCCCGCAGUCUACUCAGUUCGGACCAACACUCGAAGGAGCACUGGCCCCGGGGGGGUUAAAAUAAAGAUGACCCUCGGGCUCACGAAAACCCAAGGGAAAAGGCUUAGGUGGAAAAUGGUAAAACCAAGGUUGGGCCUUGCUGGAGGAGUUUUAUUCAAGGCGAACUGUCAAGGGGGUCCCAUAAAUCACCCAACCGCGUAAGGAAUGCAAACUCCAGGAACAUAAUACCGGUAUGAUGGAAACUAGGGCGGCAAGAGUGGAACAAAACACCAGGCAUAAGGCCGAGCCUUCCACCCUUUACCAAAUAUGUAGAUGCAUUAAUUAAAUAAGAGAUAUUGUGAUAUUCCAAAAUAUCCAUGUUCCAACAUGGAACCAACUUCAACUUCACCUGCAACUAGCAACGAUAUAAGAAGGGCUGAGCAAAAGCGGUAACUUAGCCAAAUAACGGUUUGCUAGGAAAGGAUGGUUAGAGGCUUGACAUGGCAAUAUGGGAGGCAUGAUAUAGCAAGUGGUAGGUAGCGUAGCAUAGCAGUAGAACGAAUAACUAGCAAAGCAAAGAUGGAAGUGAUUUCGAGGGUAUGGUCAUCUUGCCUGCAAGGUUCUCAGAGUUGUCGAAAGCUUGAUCCUCGUAAGCGUACUCAACAGGUUCCUCGUUCACGAACUCGUCUCCCGGCUCUAUCCACAGCAAGAACACAAGCAACGAACCACAAUCAAUCACGGGAAAUGCACAAGCAACAUGAUGCAAAACAUGCAUGAUAUGCGAGAUGUGGUAUGCGAUGCAUAUGUGUGCUCCGGAAGAAAAAGAAUGAAGAAGGUAGUAACUUGGCAAACCAAGUAUGCCACUGGAAAUAUGAGAUGAUUUCGGUCGAAAUCGAUAUAAAGAUCACCGGAAACGGAUACACGGUUUGCAAAUGGCAAGCAAAACAAGAAUGACACGAUUCUGCAAUUAACAGCAUGAUAGCACUUAGAAUACAUCAAGUAACUAUGCUAUAGCACCCCAACAUAGCAACAAAGCAUAUGGCAGUAAUCUAUAGGAGAUGCUUGACAAAAGAUGAACACUGAGCUAUGGCUAGAUCACAAAAUAACAGGUUCAAACAAGCAUGACAAAAGUGCAAAAGAUAUCAGGUUCACAGACGGUGAAAUUACUGGACAUGGCUGAAACAGCAUCAGGUAGCAAUGUUCAGAGCAAGAAAAACACAUGCUAAAAGAAUUUAACGUAGCAAAACAAGGCAUGGAAUAAAUCUACUAAAUUCAUAGAACAAAAGUCCCUUACUGACCAUAAGCCAAAAAGGAUCAUAACAUACGAUGGCAACCAUCUAAACAUAGCAAGUUUCGUUAACAGGUUUCAGACAGCAGAAAACAGAGCAUGACAGAAACAGUAUUAUGAAGGCAUCUUGGUGAGCUUGAUUCACUCACCACCAAGCAAUGCAUGACAAAAAAAGCAUACCUACGGCAAGAUGGAAUGUUUAUGAAGCUAACCAUGGCAAGAGCAAAUACAUAGCAUGAAAGGAUCAACUACAACAAGCUUGGCAAAAUUGAAUAUCAUGUUAACAAUCUGCCAGGAAUAUUUUAUAGCAAAAGUAGAGCAAGAUUAAGACAUGCUAUGGCACUCCAUAAUUGCAAACAGGGGCAUGGAUGGAUAGAACACAACAAUAUAUACACAACAUCCUUACUGAACAUGCCCAAAAGAAGCAUAGAUCUCUCUGUAGACACAUGGAUACAUGGCAACAAAAUUAUAGCAGUCACAGACUUAGCAAAAUUUCGAAGUCCCUGAAAACAGAAACAUCACGAAGCGUAGUUUGCAUGCUUGUGCUAGUCACCAUAUAGAUCAAAAAAAUACAUGGAAUAUACCUCUGUAAAUAUGGCAUGGCAUAGAUCAAAACACGUGUAGAGCUCAUGCCCAUAAAAUGCACACAUCGAAUGCAACAAAAAUAACAAAACUCCAAGUUCUGAUAAAUAACAGCAGUAAACAUCAUAUAGCACUCUUGCACCAGAGAUUUGGGCAUCAAGAUGGACUCAAAUGAGCAUGGCACAAUGUAACAAAAUUUAGAGCAUCUCGAGGAUGUAUCAUGCACGCAAAACGGAGCAGUAUGCAGAGAGUUAUGAUGCGAUGAACAGAGCCACUUAUUGCAAAUAUAUCGGGACUUGGAAGAUUUUCGGGGGGGAGAAAGUCAACCGUCUCGAUCUGGAUCUGGCGCGGCUCGGGCGCGCGGUCGCCGAGGAUCGCCGGGGCUGGCGCGGCUGUCGGAGACGGAGGGAGACGGCGCGCUCGGGCGGAGAGGAGGAGGCGGAGGCGCCGGGGUUCGGGCGGCGCUCGCCGGCGGGAGGAGGCGGCNNNNNNNNNNNNNNNNNNNNNNNNNNNNNNNNNNNNNNNNNNNNNNNNNNNNNNNNNNNNNNNNNNNNNNNNNNNNNNNNNNNNNNNNNNNNNNNNNNNNNNNNNNNNNNNNNNNNNNNNNNNNNNNNNNNNNNNNNNNNNNNNNNNNNNNNNNNNNNNNNNNNNNNNNNNNNNNNNNNNNNNNNNNNNNNNNNNNNNNNNNNNNNNNNNNNNNNNNNNNNNNNNNNNNNNNNNNNNNNNNNNNNNNNNNNNNNNNNNNNNNNNNNNNNNNNNNNNNNNNNNNNNNNNNNNNNNNNNNNNNNNNNNNNNNNNNNNNNNNNNNNNNNNNNNNNNNNNNNNNNNNNNNNNNNNNNNNNNNNNNNNNNNNNNNNNNNNNNNNNNNNNNNNNNNNNNNNNNNNNNNNNNNNNNNNNNNNNNNNNNNNNNNNNNNNNNNNNNNNNNNNNNNNNNNNNNNNNNNNNNNNNNNNNNNNNNNNNNNNNNNNNNNNNNNNNNNNNNNNNNNNNNNNNNNNNNNNNNNNNNNNNNNNNNNNNNNNNNNNNNNNNNNNNNNNNNNNNNNNNNNNNNNNNNNNNNNNNNNNNNNNNNNNNNNNNNNNNNNNNNNNNNNNNNNNNNNNNNNNNNNNNNNNNNNNNNNNNNNNNNNNNNNNNNNNNNNNNNNNNNNNGCUGACGUGGUGGCGGCGGAUUGGGCGAGGGCGGCGGCGCAGUUUGUCCGGCGCGCGGAGGGAGCGGUGGCUAGGGUUUGGACCCGGAAUUCGGGGGAGAUGUGCACAUAUUUAUAGGUAGAGGGAGCUAGGAGGCUCCAAAUGGAGUGCGGUUUUCGCCCACACGAUCGGGAUCGAACGACCGAGAGCAUGGAAGGGGCUUAGAGGGGUUAUUGGACUGUUUGGAGGGGGGGUUUUGCUGCAACACACAAAAGACCUUUGCGGUUACCCGGUUAACCGUUGGAGCACCAAACGACCUCCAAAUGGAACGAAACUUGACAGGUGGUCUACCGGUGGUAUACCAAGGCCACUUGACAAAACUUGGUCCAUUCCGAGAAUGUUUAACACCCGCUCACGAAAAGAGACAAGAGGGGUGCGCCGGUGCAUGUGGGAGUGUCAGAUUGCAAAACGGACAACGGGGAAAAUGCUCGGAUGCAUGAGACGAACACGAAUGCAAAUGAGAUGCGCAUGAUGACAUGAUAUGAGAUGCAUGACAUGAACAAAAUGCAAAACGGAAGACAAAAACCCAACCACGGAGGGAAUAUCAUAACACAUGACCGAAAAUGGCAAGAGUUGGAGUUACAAAUAUGGAAAGUUACAUCCGGGGUGUUACAUUCGCUUGGACAUUUUUAUACAUUAACUGAGUUUUAUGUGCAUUCAUGUGCAUAAUUCAAAUUUGAACUACAGGCACAUGCUCCAAUGCAUAUAAAUUAGUUGAAAAUUCAAAUAUGUGUCCUUGGUUGCCUGCUUAGGUCCCAUGCAAGAAAUGGGAAUGAAUGUCAAACACCCUGCCACCGUCACUCGGCCGCAAACAUUGAGAUACCUGGUUUUUAAAUUCUAGUAAAUCCAAAACUCGUCUGAAAUUCAUGAAACUUGGCAUGCUAUUAUGGAGCGGCAUCAACAUGCCGUGGAAAUUUUUUGUCCUAUUUGGGGCAGGUUUGGGUAUAUGCUUCUCACAAACCAGAGCUUCUCACAUAAAGCAUGAUGGUUUCCGAUGGGAAUGUCCCACCUUUGGGGACGAAACGAUAUCCAUUGCCUCUUAUUGCUUCCAAUUUUUUUCUCGUGUCAACAUAGAACAACAGGAGUGUUGUGUCAAUUUUAGUGAUUUUUCGGGGUUCGUUUGGACAUUUUUAUGCAUUAACUGAGUUUUCAAUGCAUUUAUUUGCAUAAUUCAAAUUUGAACUACAUGCACAUGCUCCAGUGCAUAUAAAUUGGUUGAAAAAUCAAAUAUUUGUCCUUGGGUGCAUGCUUAGGUCCCAUGCAAGAAAUGGGAAUGAAUUUCAAACACCAGGGGACCGUUGAUUGCCGGCAAAACAUUGAGAUGCCUGGUUUUUAAAUUCUAGUAAAUCCAAAACUUUUCUGAAGUUCAUGAAACUAAGCAUGUUAUCAUGGAGCGGCAUCAACAUGUCGUGAUAAAAUUUUUGUCCCAUUUGGGGCAGGUUUGGGUAUAUGCUUCUCACAGACCAGAGCUUCUCACAACAAGCAUGAUGGUUUCGAUAGGGAACGUCCCACCUUUGGGGACGAAACGAUAUCCAUUGCCUCUUAUUGCUUUCAAAAAAUUUCUCGUGUCAACAUAGAACAACAGGAGUGUUGUGUCAACUUUUGUGAUUUUUCGGGGUUCGUUUGGACAUUUUUAUGCAUUAACUGAGUUUUCAGUGCAUUUAUGUGCAUAAUUCAAAUUUGAACUACAUGCAAAUGCUCCAGUGCAUAUAAAUUGGUUGAAAAAUCAAAUAUGUGUCCUUGGGUGCAUGCUUAUGUCCCAUGUAAGAAAUGGGAAUGAAUUUCAAACACCAGGGCACCAUUGAUUGCCGGCAAAACAUUGAGAUGCCUGGUUUUUAAAUUCUAGUAAAUCCAAAACUCAUCUGAAAUUCAUGAAACUUGGCAUGCUAUUAUGGAGCGGCAUCAACAUGCCGUGGAAAUUUUUUGUCCCAUUUGGGGCAGGUUUGGGUAUAUGCUUCUCACAAACCAGAGCUUCUCACAUAAAGCAUGAUGGUUUCGGAAGGGAACGUCCCACCUUUGGGGACGAAACGAUAUCCAUUGCCUCUUAUUGCUUCCAAAAAAAUUUCAUGUCAACAUAGAACAACAGGAGUGUUGUGUCAAUUUUCGUGAUUUUUCGGGGUUCGUUUGGACAUUUUUAUGCAUUAACUGAGUUUUCAAUGCAUUUAUGUGCAUAAUUCAAAUUUGAACUACACGCACAUGCUCCAGUGCAUAUAAAUUAGUUGAAAAAUAAAAUAUGUGUCCUUGGGUGCAUGCUUAGGUCCCAUGCAAGAAAUGGGAAUGAAUUUCAAACACCAGGGCACCGUUGAUUGCCGGCAAAACAUUGAGAUGCCUGGUUUUUAAAUUCUAGUAAAUCCAAAACUCGUCUGAAAUUCAUGAAACUUGGCAUGCUAUCAUGGAGCGGCAUCAACAUGUCGUGGUAAUUUUUUUGUCCCAUUAGGGGCAGGUUUGGGUAUAUGCUUCUCACAAACCAGAGCUUCUCACAACAAGCAUGACGGUUUCGAUAGGGAACGUCCCACCUUUGGGGACGAAACGAUAUCCAUUGCCUCUUAUUGCUUUCAAAAAAUUUCUCGUGUCAACAUAGAACAACAGGAGUGUUGUGUCAAUUUUUGUGAUUUUUUGGUGUUUGUUUGGACAUUUUUAUGCAUUAACUGAGUUUUCUGUGCAUUCAUGUGCAUAAUUCAAAUUUGAACUACAUGCACAUGCUCCAGUGCAUAUAAAUCGGUUGAAGAAUCAAAUCUGUGUCCUUGGGUGCAUGCUUAGGUCCCAUGCAAGAAAUGGGAAUGAAUUUCAAACACCAGGGCACCGUUGAUUGCCGGCAAAACAUUGAGAUGCCUGGUUUUUAAAUUCUAGUAAAUCCAAAACUCGUCUAAAAUUCAUGAAACUUGGCAUGCUAUCAUGGAGCGGCACCAACAUGCCGUGGUAAAUUUUUUGUCCCAUUUGGGGCAGGUUUGGGUAGAUGCUUCUCACAAACCAGAGCUUCUCACAACAAGCAUGAUGGUUUCGGUAGGGAACGUCCCACCUUUGGGGACGAAACGAUAUCCAUUGCCUCUUAUUGCUUUCAAAUUUUUUUCUCGUGUCAACAUAGAACAACAGGAGUGUUGUGUCAAUUUUUGUGAUUUUUCGGGGUUCUUUUGGACAUUUUUAUGCAUUAACUGAGUUUUCAAUGCAUUUUAUGUGCAUAAUUGAAAUUUGAACUACAAACACAUGCUCCAGUGCAUAUAAAUUGGUUGACAAAUCAAAUCUGUGUCCUUGGGUGCAUGCUUAGGUUCCAUGCAAGAAAUGGGAAUGAAUUUCAAACACGAGGGCACCGUUGAUUACUGGCAAAACGUUGAGAUACUUUAUUUUUAAAUUCUAGUAAAUCUAAAACUCGUCUGAAAUUCAUGAAACUUGGAAUGCUAUCAUGGAAUGGCACCCGACAUGCUGUGGUAUUUUUCGUGUCCAUUUUGAGAGAAGGCGCACUCGAAUAAUGACAGCCAACAAAGGCAUUUUGCAAAAAUAGCUGCCACUUUAAUAUCUCAAACGUUUGUAUAAUUCAAACCGUGUGUGUUCUGUUAACCAUUCAAGUGACGCCACGUGUCUUGGUUUUAAUGGUUGUAGGAGGUGCCAUGCGGACAGCUGCUUGACCUUGACUGAACGGGAGGCGUGCGAGCGCAGUCCGGUGCGCAGGCUGACCGAGAGGCGUGCAAGCUAUCCUCGAAUGCGCAGGCUCACCGGGAAGCGUGCGAGCUGUAUGCUGCACAGGCUCACUGGGAAGCGAGCCCUUUGACUUCCAUGGCCGCCCGCCUUCCUCUCCAUGCGCGCGCCCCCUCAGUGGCAUGGGACGCCCCCAUCGAACACUUUCUCUCAGCGCCGCCUGCUGCCGUCCUCCCACCCCCCGCCCGUCGACCCGGGACAACAUGAUGCAAAGUGAGAGCAGGAUUUGUGCAUCUCUUCAACGCAAACGAUUCUUUUGGAUGACCCGUGUGGAACCACUUACAAACAAUUUGGAUUGAUUUGCAUCUGUCAUAUUGGGUAUGUUACCAUUUUCAAACUGGAAAGAUUGACAUUUGUUGAUAUAGUAACAUUGCCAUUUGUCAACCUUGUAACACUAUGAUUUGUCAAAAUGUGAAGCUAAAAAUCACUAGUAGUAUUUAAUUUUUGCAACUAAAAUUCAGUAAUUAAGCAUAGAUUUCAUUCAUAGAUUAAGCAGUCGUUCUUAAUUUAUACAAACAUUUCAACUCGACAGCUGAACCGACCAAACUUUUCCCCAAUUGUUGCCAACCACGUACUGAAAUAGCUACUUCAACUAUAUAUACUAGCUAUUUUAAGUAUGUUGUACAGUUCCACCACAUCUAUAGUCAGAUGAACUGAACAAAAUAGCCCCUAAAUACAACUACUACUACUGCGGAGGGGCUUUGUACUACUUCCAGCUGCCUCUCCUCUGCCGAGCGCGCUCAGUAAGAGGCGGAGGAGGAGGAGCCUACCGACGAGUUGGGCAACCGCAAUACGGUGUCUGCCGUUGUUGUAGCUUCAGCGACGCUCACCUCGAACGCCCUCUACCGCUCCAGACGACCCCUCUUGAAGCGGUGGUUCUCCUCGUAGAUCUCCUGAUUCCUCGCCUCUGAGGUGGCAUGUGCCACAGCCACGGUGGUGGUAAGGCUCUUUGCGUGCUCGAAGAGGCGCUCCUCCUCCUCUCGCAGGAACUCGGUGUAGCGCGCAAGGUCACUGACGCACGUGCGGGCAUCCACCUCCGCCUCCCGCCUUCGGGCAACGGUGGCAGAGCGGGUGAUGACCCCGACGGUCGACGGUGGGCUGGCGGCCACGGCGGCCGACGACGGGGUGGCAGCCACGACCACCACCUCCCGCCUUCGGGCCGCGGUGGCGGAGCGGGUGAUGGCCACGGUGGCCGGCAGUGGGGUGGUGGCCACGACGGCCACCUCCCGCCUUCAGGCCGCGGCAGCGGAGCGGGCGAUGGCCCUGGCUUUCGACGGUGGUGUUGCGGCAACGGUGGCCGGCAACAGCUGCCAACGGGCACCGGCGGCGGAGCGUGUGCUGGGUGUUCCGCGCACACCCAACAAGGAUGCCACGCGCCACUAUGCCGGGGACUGCGUCGCCGCCGCGAUGGAGCCUCCCAGCUGGAGCUGUCCUCUGAUGACGGCGGAGUGGCUGAGCGACGACGACGGACCGGUGCCAUUGGCGAUUGUGGGAGAAGAAGACGAGAUAAGCUACAGGGAGGGAGGGUAAAAUACGACGCAGGACUCGCCGGCCGUGGGGGUUUUUAUAGCAGGCCGGUAAGCAUUGGGAUUUUGGGGGAUUUUACCGAGUCGGGCGGGAAGCUUGCGCGGGAAUCUACAAGGUUGCGCGGGAACGGGCUCACCGACGAUUCAUUGGCGCCACCGUUUGGCCAAAAGAACGCCCCCGCGCGCUGCGCAAGCUUGCGCUGUAAGCCUACGGCAGCGGGGUGACAAGACGUGCGAGAGGAGGACGAAAGGCCACGUACACAUACGGUUAAUAAAAAACGUUUGCGAUUUAAUUACCUACUAUACCCCGUCCUGGUUUAUAAGUAUGAUUUAACUAAUAAAAUACGAAUGCAUGUCGCCAAAGAUUAUAUAGUUGGAUUCGUAUUUGAACAUAGUUUCCAAUUAUAUAAUUUUUAUAACAUGCAUUAACAUUUUGUUGGUUAAAUUUGAGGGCAAAGUAUGGCAGAGAAUAUAAAGGGGACUAUAGACUAGACGGAGGUGGUAGCACACUGCCGCUCUCUACGCAGCGGCGCAACUGUAGGCCGGCUUGUAGGCGACCAUUUCCUGCGUGUUCAACUGCUCUAUGCGUGUGGUUGCUUGCGGUUCAGACGGCCGCGGCGCGAUCUGCUCGCGCCCUGCCGCGCGCGCUCUGCUCUCGCGUCCCUCCGGGUGCUCUGCCCUCGUGCCUCCACGCGCGCUGCCAGUGUUUGGGCCGGCGCACGAUCACACACGUUCGUGUGCAUGCGGUUGCGCCGGGCGCGGCACGACGAUGCAGUUACCCGCUGCAAAAACUGCCAUGCGGACGCGCCGAGAAUCCACGCCACCCGUCCCCCUUUUAUUCCUGCGGCCAUUUACCUUCAUCUCUCGUCUCACACGACACAAUAAGCACACCCACGAGGACACAUACAGAGAGGACAUCCAGCGGUUCCAAUGGCGCUCCCCGUGGCUCCAAUGGCGCUCCCAGCGGCCAACGACGACAACGGCGGGCAGUUCACCACGCAACACGUCGUGGACACCCACAUGAGGGGGAAGGCUCUCUCGGUGGUGUACACGAACGAUUCGGUCUCGGUAGAGAGCUCCAUCCAAACUAUGGAGCAGUUCCUUGCCGAGGACAAGUACCAAGUGGUCGGCUUCAACCUCGAGUACACCAUGGGUCGUGCCGGGCACGAUCAGAAGGUUGUCGUCGCCCAGUUGUGCGUGCGACAUGACGUCCUCGUCUACCAGUACUACCUGGCCACAACGCCUUGCAAGCAUUUCUCCAGGUUUAUCCACAGCUCCGACUACAGUUUCGCUGCGGUGGACACCACCAACGAUCUAAAAGCGCUCAAGGUUUCGGGCUUGAAAUGCCCGAAUCUUGUCAACAUCCAGCGCGAUUACAAGGUCUGGGGCAGCGACAAAAACAAACUGAACUCCCUGGUUGACCUCGCCUCGCCAUCAUCGACCCCUACUACAUGAAGAUGAAGAAUGAGAGCAAUAAGGAGAGGAACGCCUGGCACAGUGUGUGGCAUGAGAGACUAGAUGAACAACAUGUCAAGUACGCGGCCAUGGACGCGUACACAAGCUACGAGAUGUACAUGCGGAUCGUUGACAUGAGGAACUGUCUUCUUCCUGACCUAGACAAGGGAUCGAGCCACAUAGCAGUGGCAGGAGCGUCACAAGAAGUAGAUGACUAGACAAUCAUUUAUCCUACUUUAGAAUGCAUGCAAUUGUUUAUUGAGGUGUGUGCGAAUGAUCUGUAUAGUCACUUAUGUAAUUGGAUGUUUAUUUCAGUUAUAUAUAUAUAUGUUAUUCUACUGUAGACAGAGCAAAUCACACCGUUUUUUUGCAGCAAUCGUCUGUGUUAUUAUUGGUCUUCGCACACAUUUCUGAUUACGGGCCUGUUUGCCGUGUAUCACACACAUCUUGUUCAGUUGAACCGUUUCCAUUGUGUUGCCUAAUCACACACAGUUCAUCCUAGUGAACCAUAUGCUAUAUAUCACACACACCUUCAUCUGGAUGCCGUUUCUUUUGUUCCUCAUCAUCCCAAACAGUUAAUUGAACUGAAUCGUAUGCCCUGCAUCGCACACGCAACUACAUUCUGAACCGUGUUUGAUGCAUCUGUCAUCGCAAACGUUUUGCACCUUUUUUGACGUUUUUUUACAUCACCGUUUGCGAUCAUGGCAUCGCUCACAGUUUCGUCGAAGGGUCUCUGAUCGUAGUGUCGCGUUUGGACCAUCCUGCAGUAGUGUCAUGUAAUACUUGCUUAGAUGUAGGCACAUGUCUAGGGGGAGCUAGCUCAACUCAUGAGUUAUCUUAUCCUAGAAGUGCAUAAAUUGAACAAAAUCUUUCACAUUGGCCACUUGUAGGUGGCACUUGUCCUUCAAAGAUGAGUACUGGUCUUCGGCCCAAGGUUCAUAUCUUCGCGGUGCCUGAUACGUCUCCAACGUAUCUAUAAUUUUUUAUUGUUCCAUACUAUAUUAUAUUCUGUUUUGGACAUUAUUGGGCUUUAUUAUACACUUUUAUAUUAUUUUUGGGACUAACCUAUUAACCGGAGGCCCAGCCCAGAAUUGCUGUUUUUGCCUAUUUCGGAGUUUCGCGGAAAAAGUAUAUCAAACGGAGUCCAAACGGAAUGAAACCUUCGGGAACGUGAUUUUCGGAACGAACGUGAUCCAGAGGACUUGGACCCUACGUCAAGACUGCAACCAGGAGGCCACGAGGUAGGGGGGCGCGCCUACCCUUCCCCCCCCCAGGCGCGCCCUCCACCCUCGUGGGCCCCCUGUUGUUCCACCGACGUACUCCUUCCUCCUAUAUAUACCUACGUACCCCCAAACUGCCAGAUACAGAGCCAAAAACCUAAUUCCACCGCCGCAACCUUCUGUACCCGUGAGAUCCCAUCUUGGGGCCUGUUCCGGAGCUCCGCCGGAGGGGGCAUCGAUCACGGAGGGCUUCUACAUCAACACCAUAGCCUCUCCGAUGAUGUGUGAGUAGUUUACCUCAGACCUUCGGGUCCAUAGUUAUUAGCUAGAUGGCUUCUUCUCUCUUUUUGGAUCUCAAUACAAUGUUCUCCCCCUCUCUCGUGGAGAUCUAUUCGAUGUAAUCUUCUUUUGCGGUGUGUUUGUUGAGACCGAUGAAUUGUGGGUUUAUGAUCAAGUUUAUCUAUGAACAAUAUUUGAAUCUUCUGAAUUCUUUUAUGUAUGAUUGGUUAUCUUUGCAAGUCUCUUCGAAUUAUCAGUUUGGUUUGGCCUACUAGAUUGAUAUUUCUUGCAAUGGGAGAAGUGCUUAACUUUGGGUUCAAUCUUGCGGUGUCCUUUCCGAGUGACAGUAGGGGCAGAAAGGCAUGUAUUGUAUUGUUGCCAUCGAGGAUAAUAAGAUGGGGUUUAUAUCAUAUUGCAUGAAUUUAUCCCUCUACAUCAUGUCAUCUUGCUUAAAAUGUUACUCUGUUCUUAUGAACUUAAUACUCUAGAUGAAUGCUGGAUAGCGGUCGAUGUGUGGAGUAAUAGUAGUAGAUGCAGGCAGGACUCGGUCUACUUGUCUCGGACGUGAUGCCUAUAUACAUGAUCAUACCUAGAUAUUCUCAUGACUAUGCUCAAUUAUGUCAAUUGCUCAACAGUAAUUUGUUCACCCACCAUAAAUACUUAUGCUCUUGAGAGAAGCCACUAGUGAAACCUAUGGCCCCCGGGUCUAUUUUCCAUCAUAUUAAUCUUCCAACACUUAGCUAUUUCCGUUGCCUUUUUAUUUUGUUUACUUUUACUUUGCAUCUUUAUCAUAAAAAUACCAAAAAUAUUAUCCUAUCAUAUCUAUCAGAUCUCACUCUCGUAAGUGACCGUGAAGGGAUUGACAACCCCUUAUCACGUUGGUUGCGAGGAUUUAUUUGUUUGUGUAGGUGCGAGGGACUCAUGCGUGGCCUCCUACUGGAUUGAUACCUUGGUUCUCAAAAACCGAGGGAAAUACUUACGCUACUUUGCUGCAUCACCCUUUCCUCUUCAAGGGAAAACCAACGCAGUGCUCACGAGGUAGCAAGAAGGAUUUCUGGCGCCGUUGCCGGGGAGGCUUACGCAAGGUCAAGUCAAGAUUUGGACUCCCGACAACGAGCCAUUUCUGGCGCCGUUGCCGGGGAGUCUACGCAAAAGUCAACAUACCAAGUACCCAUCACAAACCCUUAUCUCCCGCAUUACAUUAUUUGCCAUUUGCCUCUCGUUUUCCUCUCCCCCACUUCACCCUUGCCGUUUUAUUCGCCCUCUCUUUUUGUUCGCUUCUUUUUCGCUUGCCUUGUCGUUAUGGCUAGCUCGGUCUUUAUCCCUUCAUCUCCUGACUUUGAAGUCCUCCACUUCAAGCAAAGACAAGGGGAAAAUUUAAAAGAUGCUUGGUUUAGGAUGCUUGAAUCAUAUCAUAACUGCAAUAUAGAGGGAGAUUUCAAAAUUUUGCUUCGCAAUUUUUAUGUUGGGUUAACCUUGCCCCAUAAACAACUCCUCGAUUUUUCCGCCAAAGGCAAUUUUAUCGAUAUUGAUCCUAGCUUCGCUUAUGAGAUCAUAGAGGGGAUAGUGGGAGUUCUCACCCUACAAAAAGUAUCAUCCUUUACCCAAGAAGAGACUCAAAUCCUAGAGAAAUUAUGUGAGUUACAAAAAAUUGUUGAACCUCUUAAAAGUAUUGGUGGGAAUAUCAACUGCAUGAAUAAUCUGAUUACACUUUGCAAUAAGCGGCUGGAUACUUUAGAUCAAAAGAUCACCGAGCAUAACUCCAUCAAUAAAUUGCCUACCAAAGAUGGCAAUACCUAGAUCUAUCCUUGCUUUUAUGCCUAGCUAGGGGCGUUAAACGAUAGCGCUUGUUGGGAGGCAACCCAAUUUUAUUUUUAGUUUUUUGCUUUUUACUUCUGUUUAGGAAUAAAUCUUUGAUCUAGCCUCUGGUUAGAUGUGUUUUAUGUCUUAAUUAGUGUUUGUGCCAAGUUUAACCUAUAGGAUCUUCUUGGAUGAUAGUUAUUUGAUCUUGCAGAAAUUUCCUGAAACUUUCUGUUCAUGAAAAUAAUUGUUAAAAAUCACCAGAACGUGAUAAAAUAUUGAUUAUAAUUGCUUCUGAUCACUAAACAAAUUGUCUAGGUCGUCCUAUUUUGGCUGAAUUUUUGGAGUUCCAGAAGUUUGCGUUAGUUACAGAUUACUACAGACUGUUCUGUUUUUGACAGAUUCUGUUUUUCGUGUGUUGUUUGCUUAUUUUGAUGAAUCUAUGGCUAGUAAAAUAGCUUAUAAACCAUAGAGAAGUUGGAAUACAGUAGGUUUAACACCAAUAUAAAUAAAUAAUGAGUUCAUUUCAGUACCUUGAAGUGGUCUUUUAUUUUCUUUCGCUAACGGAGCUUACGAGAUUUUCUGCUGAGUUUUGUGUUGUGAAGUUUUCAAGUUUUGGGUGAAAGAUUUGAUGGAUUAUGGAACAAGGAGUGGCAAGAGCCUAAGCUUGGGGAUGCCCAUAACACCCCAAGAUAAUCUAAGGACACCUAAAAGCCAAAGCUUGGGGAUGCCCCGGAAGGCAUCCCCUCUUUCAUCUACUUCCAUCGGUAACUUUACUUGGAGCUAUAUUUUUAUUCACCACAUGAUAUGUGUUUUGCUUGGAGCGUCUUGUAUUAUUUGAGUCUUUAUUUGUUAUUUUACCACAAUCAUUCUUGCUGUACACACCUUUUGAGAGAGUCACACUUGAUUCGGAAUUUAUUAGAAUACUCUAUGUGCUUCACUUAUAUUUUUUGAGCUAUAUAGUUUUGCUCUAAUGCUUCACUUAUAUCUUUUAGAGCACGGUGGUGGAUUUGUUUUAUAGAAAAUAUUGAUCUCUCAUGCUUCACUUAUAUCUUUUAGAGCACGGUGGUGGAUUUGUUUUAUAGAAAAUAUUGAUCUCUCAUGCUUCACUUAUAUUAUUUUGAGAGUCUUAAAAUAUCAUGGCAAUUUGCUUUAAAUAAUAUCAUGAGAAAUUUGAUGCUUGAUAAUUGUUUUGAGAUAUAAAGGUGGUAAUAUCAUAGUUGUGCUAGUUGAGUAAUUGUGGAAUUGAAAAAUACAUGUGUUGGAGUUUGUGAUUCCCGUAGCAUGCACGUAUGGUGAACCGUUAUGUAACGAAGUCGGAGCAUGAAGUAUUUGUUGAUUGUCUUCCUUUGUGUGGCGGUCGGGAUCGCGCGAUGGUUAACUCCUACCAACCCUUCCCCUAGGAGCAUGCGUAGUAGUACUUUGCUUCAAGGGCUAAUAAAUUUUUGCAAUAAGUAUAUGAGUUAUUUAUGACUAAUUUGAGUCCAUGGAUUACACGCACACUUACCUUUCCGCAAUUUUCUAGCCUCUUCGGUACUGCGCAUUGCCCUUUCUCACCUUGAGAGUUGGUGCAAACUUCGCCGGUGUAUCAAAUGCCUGAGGUCUUCGGGAGCAAGCAAGUUGGAUGCACACCCACUUAGUUUCUUUUUGAGCUUUCAUACACUUAUAGCUCUAGUGCAUCCGUUGCAUGGCAAUCCCUACUCCUCGCAUUAACAUCAAUCGAUGGGCAUCUCCAUAGCCCAUUAAUUAGCCUCGUUGAUGUGAGACUUUCUCCUUUUUUGUCUUCCCACACAACCCCUACCAUUAUACCUUAUUCCACCAUAGUGCUAUAUCCAUGGCUUGCGCUCAUGUAUUGCGUAAGAGUUGAAAAGGCUGAAGCGCGUUAAAAGUAUGAACCAAUUGCUUGGCCAAAACCAGGGUCGUACAUGAUAUGAAUAUUUUGUGUGGGGAAGAUGGAGCAUAGCCAGACUAUAUGAGUUUGUAGGGAUAACUUGCUUUGGCUAUGUUAUUUUGAUAAGACAUAAUUGCUUAGUUAGUAUGCUUGAAGUAUUAUUGUUUUUAUGUCACAUUAAACUUUUAUCUUGAAUCAUAUCAAAUCUGAACAUUCAUGCCAUAAUAAGAAGAAUUAUAUUGACAUUAUGCCAAGUAGCAUUCCACAUCAAAAAUUCUGUUUUUAUGAUUUACCUACUCGAGG
rnacentral:lncRNA from 1 species